rnacentral:rRNA from 1 species
AUUGAACGCUAGCGGCAUGCCUUACACAUGCAAGUCGAACGGUAGAGGGGGCAACCCCUUGAGAGUGGCGAACGGGUGAGUAAAGUAUCGGAACGUGCCCAGUAGUGGGGGAUAGCUCGGCGAAAGCCGGAUUAAUACCGCAUACGACCUGAGGGUGAAAGCGGGGGACUCGCAAGGGCCUCGCGCUAUUGGAGCGGCCGAUAUCAGAUUAGGUAGUUGGUGGGGUAAAGGCCUACCAAGCCGACGAUCUGUAGCUGGUCUGAGAGGACGACCAGCCACACUGGGACUGAGACACGGCCCAGACUCCUACGGGAGGCAGCAGUGGGGAAUUUUGGACAAUGGGCGCAAGCCUGAUCCAGCCAUGCCGCGUGCGGGAAGAAGGCCUUCGGGUUGUAAACCGCUUUUGUCAGGGAAGAAAUCUCCUGGGUUAAUACCCUGGGAGGAUGACGGUACCUGAAGAAUAAGCACCGGCUAACUACGUGCCAGCCGCCGCUGUAAUAC